GAUCGCAUACUAACCGGUCAAUAGUUGAAACGAUACAGAGAAGAUUAGCAUGGCCCCUGCACUAAGGAUGACACGCUCAAUCAAAGAGAAGCUACCAAUUUUU
rnacentral:snRNA from 2 species